GCAGUAAAAUGAAGAAUUUCCCUCUUACAGAACUGCAGCCCGCUAGAUACAUGGCCACACAGCUACUAUCAAGUCAGGGGUGCUUCACUUUGUAUUUUAAGGUUGAUUUAGCUACAGAAAUGCUGUUUAGAAGGAGAAGAAAAAAAUCACCAUAUGAAUUGUAGUUAAUUUAAUGAGUGGACGAAGAGACAGGACAGCCAGACUGAGGGGUUAAAAAAAAAAGCAAAAAUAUUUUUUAAAUGUCCUUUUCAAAGAUGCUCAGCUGUCUUAACUCUAAGAUUUAAAUGUCCUGACUAAAAGAUACAUGUCUACAUAUUAUUAUUUUAAAAAACUCAACCGAGCCUUUUACUGCAAAUGUAAAUUUAUUUUAAUGAGAAUUGUGACAAGCUUUAUUUAACUGGUCAAAGUUAGGGAAAAACAUUUGUCUUAAUCUGAAAAAAAAAAGUCCCCAACUCCCAGGAAUAUGGUUUCCUUGCAGAAAGUGGUUGGCUGGUCUGUAAUUCUUUACAGAUUAAAUCACAAUGUGAAUACAGACCCCAGCAAUGCCGAAUUUAACUCUGAGUUCAGUAGAAUCCAGGAUCCAUUGAAUUUCUCCUACCCCUCCAUCUAGUCGUGUGUGUUUUUCUCUUCCACCACACUGGAGCUCGGUGAAUAGGGAAGGGGCUUCCAUUGUGUCCCACUGAACUUCCAAGUCAAUGCAAUUUUUAACCACUGGCUUGUGGUACUUUGAAAAUCACCAGGGGCUGUCAGAGUUGGGUCCUCUGAAAAAUUUACAGUGCUAAAUCAGAGCAUAUGCUGGGAGGGGAAAAAAAAUUGCUUAAGAUUGGAGCAAGUACAGUAUCCGUCUGCCCCCUAGUGUAAGAGUCCUCGCUGCCUAAAAUCCAACUUUAUAAGAAAAGGAGCCCUUAAAGGGAAACGACUUGGGGCUCACGUAGGCAUAGGAGAAUGAAACUUCUGUACAUUUUAAUCUGAAUAAUUCUUCAGGAUUUAAAAUUAUUUGGCUGUGGCUUGGUUGGACUGCACUGGAAUCUCGUCGCCUCUACGUUUCUCGAGUCACUGGUGAAGAGGUGAUUUUUUUUUUUUUUUUUUGAACUGGGUUUAUGUGCGUCCCCCUCACCCCUCCUCUCUUUUUCUUUCUGCCUCUGUCGUCUCUCUCGCUGGCUUUUUAAAAAUGAGGAACCGUUCCAUGAACAUUUUGCACACAGCACAGAAUUGCUUCUAAAGUCAGCCCGGCGCGGUUGCAAUAGACAGCAAAAAGGUAAACCGUUUGCCUGAAAUCCGCACGCCAGCUCCACCACCCCGCCCGAUGGGCUUGAACCCAGGACUUUGAACAUACUAGGUGAUCAUUCUGCGGUAGAGGAAAACUUCUAGUUCACAGAAGAGUUUUCAGCAAAGAGAACAUGGAUGAGAAAUUAUCAGCUAACAUCUCAAGGACACUUAAUCAGCCAAGGCCCUGUGCUGAACUGUUCAUUAAGAAGUGAAGAAGCAUGAAGAAUGAAAAAUAUCCCUCCCAGAAGAGCUUGCUGCCAGCUGUAGUGGGGUUGAGGAGACAGGCCCAGUUUCUCCUGUGAUGAGAAUGUCUGUGUGCAUGAUUUUAAGCCAGAUCACCCCAAAUACCACUGGUAGACUGAUAAAUUGGAAAUAACCACAGGCAUGGUGGUGCACACCUUCAAUCCCAGCAUUCAAGAGGCAGAGACAGGCGGAUCUCUGUUCUAUAACAGAAUCAAGAAGGUGUGGACACCUACCUGUGGGCUGAGGCUUGGGAGACAUUGUUUCAGGUUCCUGCUGAAGCCAGAGUUCUGGAGACAGACAGCCAUUCAAGGAAAUGAAGGCCAUAGGAAGACGCACUUAAAAAUACGUGCUUGGAAGAAAACUGUCGAAAGUGUCAUCUUCCGCGUGGGCGUCUCUGCGCCGUCCUUCCCUUCUGUAAACACCAACUGAAGCUGCGACCUGGGAGUUCCUGAGUACCCUCCGACGAACUCACCUGCUGCCCGGUAUGGGAGGAGCUUUUCUGUGGAAGCAGAGGCCACAGGCUCUGGAGAAGAUUUGCCAAAGAGACUUACUUCUAAGGAAGCCAGCGAUCUCAUAAGAAUGAUCAACAGUGUAAAUCAAGUAAAAAACCAGCGAUCUCAUAAGAAUGAUCAGCAGGGUAAAUCAUGUCAAAAGAUGUAGAUGCUCCACACUCUCCAGCAUCCAGAUCAGGUAUGGCCCUGUGGGUCACAGACACCUGUGACAACAGUUGCCUGGGACACAGGAGUAGCAGCUCUUAUCAGAUAGCACAUCUUCACUGGAUGACACCUUUAAUAGAUGCUGUAUGUGUUUUUCCUCUGCCUCAUCUUCCCACCAGGAUGUUCUCUGUCGUCGAAAGCCCAAAGCAACAAGAUCACAUCAUGAUGGACAGAUGCUACUGUCAGUGGGCGCGACUCCAUUGACAGGUGCCGCACAGGCUUGUGGGAGCGUAACGCUCCAGCACACCCUUUGGAGAUGGUGCAGAAGGAACAGACUCCCCUCCACGUAGAAGACGGAGGAAAAUUGAUGGUCCAGUUUCUGUGUGUCCUUCAGUCUCCAUUCUUUAUCAGCUGCUUGGCCGCCAUUGUGCUCCUGAUGCAGCUGCUAUCUGCAGACCUCCUGGACAGCCCAAGGAAGGGAGUGGGAGCUCCUGCUGCAGAUGGGUGGAACAGCGACCAGAAGGAUUGAAGGUGGCCAAAAAUAACAGUGCCUUCCAGAUGAGGUGACCUCAGAGCCAAGAGCAUCAUGGGGUAGAGUAUCUUGUUCCUAGUUUUAUGACCUAAAAAGUACACAGAAGACUCAAAGAUACUACAGAAUGAAGGAAUAAAGUCUGCAGAGAACAAGGAAAUGUGGUUAGUUACUAUUUUUUAAAAAUUGAGUUUCUUUGUGCACACACAUACACAAGAAAACAUAGGCCUUUUAUAUAUGUAUGAAGAAAGACCCAGAUAGAUAGACAGACAGCCAAAUAGAUAGAACAAAAUACAAUAGAAGACCAAAAAGGAGAAAAAGAUACAGAUAACAUUGCCUUCCUUUGUUUGCUAUUGAAAU